GGGAGCUGACGCUCCAGGAAAGGGAACCCUGGAGGCUGAUGGACGCUCUGAGCACCGCAAGCACCGGUGUGCUGCGCUCAGAAGAACAUAAAUCAUUGUAAAACACCUUGGAGUAGGAUCCGGUCUCUGAGCUCAAAGAAAUCUGCAGCAAGCGUCUGCAUCUGUGAUCAUCUCCUUCCUUCUAGGAUGGAAGCACCUCCUCCCAUGGAAGGCCAGCCCCCAGCAGUGCAUUGGAUCCUCACUCUCUCUACUUUCUCUGCAUGCAAACCUUCAUGGAUCCUGUUCUGCUCUUGUCUUCAACUCUGCUCUCUCUCCUGGACCCUUUUCAGUGAUAAAGCAGCAGAGGUUGACAGGAACAUAUACUACGUUUCACAUCAGACUUGACUGUGUAAGGGAGCUCCUUUCGGACACACCUCUGUCUCUGCUGCCUGCAAGGAAUGUCUCAAAGGCUCCAGUUCUUUCCAGGUGUCUAGUCCAGUCACUACUUUGAGUUCUUUACUCUGUAUGAUCUCUUGAUAGCAUUCAGUGCCUGAGCUGAGAUGCUCUUCCUGGAGCUUUUAUUACUUUACUCCUCUUGGUGUUCUGUUCAACUAGUUAGCUGUUGCUUCUUGGGAUCCUUUGGCUGCUCUUUUUUUUUUCUUGUAUGAAGAAAUAAAACAUUUUCAUAACCAA